UGGUCAGUAGCUCAAUGGUUAGAGCAGAUGCCUUAUACGCAUCAAGCUGCCGGUUCGACCCCGGCCUGACCAA
rnacentral:tRNA from 1 species